UUCUGCCUGCUGACAGUGUGUUUAUGCAUUUUGUGUUAGGUCGGGAUGAAAACGAAACGCAUCGCAUGUCGCUCCUCGCGCAAAAGCCGCGCGCGCGCACCCAACAGGCAACACUUCUUCCUUCCUUUUUCCCCUUUUCAUACCAA
ensembl:ncRNA R02D5.16 ncRNA